UACAGAGGUCUCAAGCGUUGUUCGGAUUCAUUGGGCGUAAAGGGUGCGUAGGCGGUUUGGCAAGUCGGAUGUGAAAACCCGAAGCUCAACUUCGGGCCUGCAUCCGAAACUGCCCGACUAGAGGUAGGUAGGGGAGAUCGGAAUUCCUGGUGUAGCGGUGAAAUGCGCAGAUAUCAGGAAGAACACCCGUGGCGAAAGCGGCUCUCUGGAACGGUACUGACGCUGAGACGCGAAAGCGUGGGGAGCGAACAGG
rnacentral:rRNA from 1 species